AAGCAAGAAUGGGUAAGUGCAAAAUUUUGUAAAUUGAAAUGAUACUUUGUUUUAAAGGUGCAAAGAAGAGAAAAGGUAAUGAAGAAUUGCAAUGAAAUACUAUUAUUGGAUAUACAAUAAGGUGGUGAGAAAAAAGGAAGAAAAGAAGAGGUUGGAGGAAAAGAAGAGGUUGGAGAAAAAGGAAAAGAGAAAGAAGGGUCUAAGAGACCUGAAGGGGGGGAAGUAGAAAAAGAGAAGAGCAAGUUGGUGAAAAAAGAUGUGAUAGAAGUAAAACAGACAGAUGAGAAAGUAGUGAUAGGAAAAGCAAAAGACAAAGAUGAAGUGCAUGUAGAAAGUGAAGAAGAAAGAGAGAAUGA